rnacentral:rRNA from 1 species
UACGGAGAGUGCAAACGUUGUUCGGAUUCACUGGGCGUAAAGGGCACGUAGGCGGCUCAGCAAAUCGGUCGUGGAAUCCCGACGCUUACCGUCGGAACGGCGGCCGAAAAUACUGGGCUAGAGGGCGUGAGGGGUCACUGGAACUCCUGGUGAAGCGGUGAAAUGCGUAGAUAUCAGGAGGAACGCCGGAGGCGAAAGCGAGUGACUGGCGCGUUCCUGACGCUGAGGUGCGAAAGCUAGGGGAGCAAACAGG